GGAAGGAGGGGGAAAUGCAUAAUGUGGAGAGAGAGUCCUGUCCUGUCAGCAAAGGGGAAACGCUGUCCUUCCUUGGUCUUAUAUUGACGGUUAUCAGUGACAUAGUUACUACUACGAUCAUUUCAUAAAGGCCAUUGCCACGCUCUUGGACGAUCUUGGGAAAAGCACCUUGAUCCUUGGGAAUGCAUCGGAAAUAUGCCACAGCAUGAUUAUCAGCACAGGACACAGAAGAUUUUGAGUCUAAAGCAACGAGAUGGACUCCAGAAAGCACAGGUGAAAACUGGGGUGAAACUGUGCCCUAUCGUGACUCUCGUGCAGGAUCAGCUUUCCAUCACAUUGCUGAAUCGAUUGCCACAUCCAUUCUGCCGUUCAUUCAUCUGGGGUGCGCUGGGAAGAGAGGAGAGACGAUAAAUGGGAUCAGAAGUAUGGUUCAGAGCAUGAACGCUUUUGUACCAAUGGCAAACCAGGGACUUUGCACGUUACCCUCUGAUAAUGAGGUAUCUUUCACAAAACAUGUAUUAUUCGAGAAGUCUAGGGCAUGGGCCCUCAGAAAUGGGAUGCCGGUGGAAUUGAAGACGGCACAGGUCCAGGGAGGCGACAUCUGAGACAGUUGGAGGAGGCACAUCCCUGUUCAUUUCGGUCAACGAUGGGGGGAGGCAGCAGCCUCUUGUGGUCUGGGCAGUGAAGCGCACGCACCUGAGAGAAACGCUACAGCUGGAGAAAGCAAACCUCAAUUUGGACCAGGCACGUUUCAAGCACUCAAUAGCUGCAUGUGCCUAGCGGAUACCAUGUUGGACGGCACAGCUCUAGGUAUCGAGAUCUUACUCUCCUCGUCUUCCCUCCCUGAAGUGGAUCUACUUAUAUAACCGGGAAGAGGAUAUUGCUGACUCGUUGCAAGCCAAUACUUUGGUGCUCAGGGCAUUUUUAUCCGUGGCCAAGAACCUAGAUUAUGGACUCUCACAAACGUGAGGAAAUCGUCAUGGGAUCAUGCCAGGAAAGGAGGCUUGGGAAAGGACAUCUCUGACUUCUUGAAAAAUUGAGUGUAUCUACAUUUGUCCUGGCUCUUAUUUAGUUUCAAAUACAAGGAGAUUUAGAUUCAAAAUAGCUUCUUAGUUUGCUUUCUUUCUUCACGUGGUCAAUACACGUGAAAGUAGACUCAUGAGGAGAAAAUCAUUCUCAGUUAUCUCAAUUUCUACGGGAUGUUGUGAAGAUAAUAAACAUUUUUGAUAAGGCAAGUUUUCUUUUGGCAUAACAAGAAGUGGGUGUACAACAUGUAUUCUAGAAAUAUUUUAAUAACUAGGAGCACGAGAGUCAGAGCAAGCAGCCAAGCAUUUUACGUAUUUUUCAGAAAAAAUUUUUGGAAGGCUUUCUCUGAGGUUUCUAGAUGUGAAGUGAGCCAGGUUGGCGGGGUUGGAGGAUGCAUAGAAAGGGUCAGAGUGAAGGUAAGUAUGAACGCAGAGAUGCAAACACGGCCAAGCUAGAGAUUCAGUUACACACCUCUCCCCUCCCCUUAGGAGCCUCUGCCUGGGAUGGGAGCGCUGCUCGACUUAAAGGCCCUUCCCAAGCAAAGAGCAGUUUCAUCAACAGUGCAAAUCAAAAUGGCUCUCCCAGGAAAUAGAACGCCUGGCUCCCGCUGUGAGCCUGAUGGCUCUCUCUCUCUCUGGCGCAUCUUUCCCAGCAGGGUGCCUUUCUUUGGGGGAAAAAGCGUCUGGGCUAUUUUCAAGCACCUGACAAAUGAAGGUCAUAAUGAAAGCUGGUUGGCCACACAGCUAUUUAAGCGGUUAAAGAUAGAAAAUGAUAUUGGCUAAAACCCAGUCUUUCCAUGGCUUAGUGACUAUUUUGUCACACCCUAUUCCGAAGAGAAUGAAAUCAUUUUAUAAUAUUGGCCUUGAAUGAGGCUGAGUAUUCUAUGUUAUAUCACUUGUUCUAUUUCAUAGAAUAUGAUUUAACCCUUGAUGUUUCUGAACAUGAUGAAAAGCCGUAUCAUCAUGGGAUCUCAGGGCUUGGCUGGGAAAUGGGCCGGCAAAGCUAGAUGAGCCAUGGGGUAAAACCUCUCUGAUUCCCCACAAGACUUCCAGAAAGGUUGUGGCUUGAUUGAGUACCUCUGGGAAACUCUUUGCCCAGUUGCGUAAUGGCAUUAGGACAUUCAAGAAUAAAAGAAGUUAUAAUCUAAAUAUGUAUGUACAAAACAGAUCCCUCGCCUCUCCCUCCAAGGAAAACCACAAAACAAAAUAAUGGGAAUUCUGA